UACGUAGGGGGCGAGCGUUGUCCGGAUUUAUUGGGCGUAAAGAGCGUGUAGGCGGCCAGGUAGGUCUGCUGUGAAAACUCGAGGCUCAACCUCGAGACGUCGGCGGAAACCAUCUGGCUAGAGUCCGGAAGAGGAGAGUGGAAUUCCUGGUGUAGCGGUGAAAUGCGCAGAUAUCAGGAAGAACACCCGUGGCGAAGGCGGCUCUCUGGGACGGUACUGACGCUGAGAGACGAAAGCUAGGGGAGCGAAUGGG
rnacentral:rRNA from 1 species